CCCACACGGCUUUGGGGACAGGGAGCACCCGCGGGCUCCUGGAUGCCAACACAUCCCAGGGGUUUUGCCAGCUGGGAAUUCUGUCGCAGCUGAUGUGACCCCGGCACAGCCUGUCCGUGCAUUCAGGGCAGGGCACACGGCACGGGAGGAAGGAGGAGAGCCGGGCUGCGCGGCUGGCACCGCCAAAAAGGAGGAGGAUGAGGAAGGAGGCGAUGCCCGGCGAGGCUGCGGUCACUGCGCAGCCAGGCUGUGACAAGGGCGCUGUGACAAGGCGGCUCGUGUCGCCGGCCGGCUCCUGAGGGCAGAGCAGAGCGCAUCCCCCUCGUUAUCCGCGCUCGCCGCUCUCGGGCCGCCUGCCCGCAGCUUUUCCUCCUCCCCGCUGCGCCCGCCGCUUGUCUCCCCGUAAUUAAAGAUCCAACGACCUUUGCCGACUGCCUGAGACGCUGGAACAAAUGAACGAGGCGCGUUCCUGAUUGAUCUGGAAGAAGCAGCUCAGUGCGAGGGAAGGAGUCUAUACACACCGAAACAGCUCUUUAAUUUCUUAAUUUAAUAUCUGACACGUAAAGAUUCUCAUUAAGCCAGUCAAUGAAGCCUGGAAAUACAAUUUUCGUGCAAACUGU